rnacentral:rRNA from 1 species
UACGUAGGGUGCAAGCGUUGUCCGGAAUUAUUGGGCGUAAAGAGCUCGUAGGCGGUUUGUUGCGUCGGCUGUGAAAUCCCGAGGCUCAACCUCGGGUCUGCAGUCGAUACGAGCAAACUAGAGUGUUGCAGGGGAGACUGGAAUUCCUGGUGUAGCGGUGAAAUGCGCAGAUAUCAGGAGGAACACCGGUGGCGAAGGCGGUUCUCUGGGCCUUACCUGACGCUGAGGAGCGAAAGCAUGGGGAGCAAACAGG